rnacentral:rRNA from 1 species
UACGUAGGGUGCAAGCGUUAAUCGGAAUUACUGGGCGUAAAGCGUGCGCAGGCGGUUUUGUAAGUUUGUCGUGAAAUCCCCGGGCUCAACCUGGGAAUUGCGAUGAAGACUGCAAGGCUGGAGUCUGGCAGAGGGGGGUAGAAUUCCACGUGUAGCAGUGAAAUGCGUAGAGAUGUGGAGGAACACCGAUGGCGAAGGCAGCCCCCUGGGUCAAGACUGACGCUCAUGCACGAAAGCGUGGGGAGCAAACAGG